AGUUAUCGUUUCGCUCGCGCACCGUGCUGAUGUGUUCUCACGUUGGCUCCCGUGUCGUGCCCGUGGAUAAUCAGUUUUGCCCUUUUUCCUUUCUUCGGUAGUACCGUAUACAAUUCCGUUGAAUGGUGUGUGGACUGACCCGUGGACUGUGUAUGUGUGUAGUCCGUUGAGAAGCAGAGAAAGAACGGCGAUUCAUUCAUCCCACACGCACACCCACAAACCCAAAACAAUCCCAGUGCGCUGAGGAGCUUUGUGUUCCGAAUCGUGGGGGUGUGUGCGUGCAUAUCCUACGGCUCGGUUUUGUGCGCGCUAGUUGGCGGUCGAGCGCUCCAAGUUUUGUGUGUUGGUGUUGUUACUUUUCCGUCCCAGAGAAGAGCGAUCAGAAGAACAUCAUCAUCAUAAUCAUCGCGCAAGGAACGAACGGGGAGUAGCAGAGAGAUAUCAAAAUGGCUACUAGUGAUGAUGAACAUUACCAUCUCUAUGAAGUGUUUCAAAAUUGUUUCAACAAAAUCGCAAACAAGCAGCCUGAAAAAGCAGGCUAUCAGUCUCCAUAUGGCGGCAUGGACAAUGGCGUGUACACGCCCGAGGAAUAUACUCACGAAAGCCCGGUGUCCGGAGGUCAGAGGUACACAUCGCCCAAGGCGGGCGGCGGCCUGUACCAGCCGGAUGCGUAUUACGAUGCGCCCGGCGGUUCCUGGUAUCCCUCAUCGUCCAGCGGUGCGUACGCGCCUCACUCGGCAGGUUCCGCAUAUCACAACGUAGGUCACGGCGCACAUCUCGGUGGACCACAGCACAGCCAUGAACAGUACGCAAUGUCGCCGGUCGGCGUUCCCCACAUGGAUGGACAUUUAAACCAAAAUCAAACACAAGCACUUCCACCGAUGAGUUCGUUCCGAGGUAACACCGCCCAGAUACCGCCGAUCGGACCCCAAGGACAGAACUCACCCGCAAUCUACAACGCAAUCGCAGGACAUCACAAUCAGCAUGCACAACAUAGUCCAAUUGUACAAAAUGACUCCCUCGUCGGCAACGCACUGAAAACGAUGUACCCCACUGAUCAGAGUAUUAGCAGUUACGGCUCAAACCCAACGACACCAGUGAACUCACCCCCUCCACUAACAUCACAGCAGCAGGCAGCGGCAGCCGCCGCCGCAGCCGCAGCCAUCGCCCAACAGCAAUCCGCCGCGGCCGCGAGUAUACACGGCUCCGGUGCGACGGCCGGGUCGUCCAGCGGCGGUGCAGGUUCCUCAGCCACGACGUCCUCCGCGGCAGCUGCGGCGGCGGCAGCGGCAGCAGCAGCGGCCGCAGCAGCCGGUGGACCCUGGCAACAAAUCAACCCUGUGAUCAACAACGGCGCUGGACCGGCUGGAGCGGCAGGAUCCGCGGCUGCCGCGGUGGCAGCGGCCGCAGCGCUCAAUGGUCUACCCAACGGUUCCUACGCCCCCGAACUGGUGCACCGAGGCUUGCAGCACAUGGCAAAUUCGCCAGAGAUUCAACCGCUGGACGAUGCAAUUGUGUCGCUGCUCCGGGAACACUCGGAGAACGGAACGGGCACCCGCAUGGAAGAACGCUUGGACGACGCUAUCAACAUCCUGCGGAAUCACUGCGAACCACAGGUCGGCGUGUCGCUCUCUUCGAUGGACGGUGGCUCGCCAUACGGUCCGCCCGGGGCGUCGAUUCUUCCGCCCGGUACCUCGGGCGGUGGUUCCACCUCAUCACAGCUGCACGGCCAGGACUCGACCAGUGAUCUACCAGUGACGGCGGCCGGACUCGUACCAGUGAAAACCGAACGACUUCCUAGCACACCGGUUGCAGUCAACAGUAGUAUGAUCAAUGCACGGUUGUUGAAGAAAGUAACUGACGGAAUUAAUUCCAUUGUUGCAGAGAAACGCAAAGAACCUCCAGAUUCAGAUACCAAACCCAGCAGUUCCGUACCAGGUUCCACCAAGGGUGCCAAACGGCAGCGUAAAUAUAAAAAUUCACGUAGUUGUUCUAGUGCUGACGAUGAUGACGACGACGAUGACAUCGAUCCUGUGACGAAGGAUCGAAAGGAAAAAGAACGGAGACAGGCCAACAAUGCCCGGGAAAGAAUACGAAUUCGGGACAUCAACGAAGCACUGAAAGAGCUGGGCCGGAUGUGCAUGUCGCACCUCAAAUCCGACAAACCGCAAACCAAACUCGGCAUACUAAAUAUGGCCGUUGAGGUGAUCAUGACGCUCGAACAACAAGUGCGAGAACGCAAUCUAAACCCAAAAGCCGCCUGUCUGAAGCGGAGGGAGGAGGAAAAAGCCGAAGAUGGCCCCAAACUGCCCCCUCACAUACUACACCAAACGCCGUACCCCUCACUACCCGUAAGUAACCUCAAGCAAGAACGAGAGUGAGAGCACUGAGAUCGCGCGUGUCGUAUCGAGACAUCGAUAAGUAGCAAAAAAAAUCGUAACCGUUACUUCAAAAUUCAAACCCGUACCGGCAUAAUUAGGCUGAAUGCGAGAAGCGAGAUACCGUACGCCAUUGAUCGAGCGUGGCCCGCCGCCAAAUCUUCCCCACAACCCUGGGCCACCACAAUAGCAUAAUAACUUUAAUAACUUAAUUCGAAGAUAACACUGCAAGCAGCACACAUGUACAUAUGCAACCGUAGCAGCAGCAACAGUGGAAUCGGCUGCCGCAACUUCAGUAGCACUAGAAGAAGCAGCAGUAGCAACAGAAGCAAAAUCAACAGUAGUAGGAGUAGGUGAAUCGUCGUGCGAGUGCUGGCAGGGUAGUGAUUGGUGGAUGUGGUUCUGAGAUAUGGUGUGACUGCGAGAACAAUGAGUGAAUGUGUUUAAACGAAACAAGAAAGGUUUGUGACACCCGUCGUGUAAUGUGUAACAAAUUUGAGCUAUCCUUUUAAGUAGCUGUCUGUAUGUUGAAAUACAAAGCAAACUUCAACAGGAAUUCAAAGGAGAGGGAGAUCGAAGGAUCAAGGUUUUGAAAACAGAGCAAUGGCACUUAUGGACAAACAUCUGCAGACACAACACAACCCUCUACAACACAAGAUUUACAGCGCACUAGAUAUUGAACGUUAAAAAAUCUUAUUUAUUUUAAACUAAAGAAUUUUAACAUCACAACGAUCAGACUGUUUUUAUUCGUGUAGAAAAAUUAACCUUUCAAUGAAUAAAGUCAAAUUGGGCAGCUGGAUAAAUUUAUAUUGUUCUCGAUAUUGUUUCUGUUAUUUCUUGAUUGAUUUUGUUAACCACUUAUUAUCAUUCCUUUACGUUAGUUUGUUUGUUCCGCCAGGCAUAGGUAUUGUCCCAUAUGUGCAUCCAACCACUUUAUUUAAUUAAUACAGAGAUGAAACAUUGCAUUCUUGUUAGUUUUCGAAGAAAAUCUUCUUGGACAUAUCGGAAAAAACAAUACAAGCAACCGUGUUGUGAAUUAAAUUUCAUCAAAUUAGCAUCCAAGUUGGAAAAACGAAUAGUAUGAACUAUGACAUGGAAAGGUUGAAAUGUUUUUAAAAAUCUAGAAAAUAAUAAUCUCAACCUGAAUAAUGUAAGCUAUGGGAAAGUCUUCUGAAGUCAGAAUACACAUUUGUGUAAAUCUGUAAACAUAAUAAUGUUCCUACAAAAUAAUCCAGAAUGUGAUUUACGACACCUCUACGCUCAAUGGAAAUUGAGCAUAUCAUGCAUGAUUACAUAUGAUAUAAACAAUCAAUCGGAUUUCAAUAAUGUUUUCCCAUUUUAAAAUUAUUUUCCCAUUCUGAAUCGUGUUAAAGUUCACAGGUAACUACAGCAUGGAUGUUAUAGAUAAUACCACAUAAUUCAUUCGUUUUUUCACCUUGUAUAUUUCCGUUAUUUCAAUAUACUGCAGUCAUAGGCAUAUUUGUCCCAUGUUUGCUGGGAUCUCCUAUGUACAUGGAACAGUUAUGCGCAUAAUAGCAGUAUACUGCCCAUGAUCGCAUAUUUGUAACAUUUGCAUUUUGGUUGAUUUUGUAAAUCGUUUGUCAAUCCUUCCCACAAACUCAAUCAUUUCCAGCUUACCACAGAUAUGCAAGAUAGUAAAUCCUAUUUUACUGCUGUGGGAAUAGAUGCAGUAAAUUGAGGUUUCUGAUCGAUUCACAGGCUUUCUACACAAUGAACAAAAAUGCGAUUGUUACAAAUAUGCGAUCAUGGGCAGUAUAUCAAUUAUUAGUUUUGAUAUGGGAUUUAGAUGGGUUGUGAUAACAGAUAAUUAUCUUAGUAGGCUUGAAGUCACUUUGAACCGAAUCAAGGUUUGGCAAGGUAAUAAGACCCUACGCAAAACAAAUCAGUUCAUGGGAGAGUAUUGUUCAUACUUAUCUAAAUAAAGAGUACCUCUAUUGUAGAGUUCAUGUUGAACAGUCGACUAAUGGUGAACAUUAGUCCUGUCUAAAAAGCAGCUUGAAGUCGCUCUAAGUUAUUUCCAUCCCGUUUCCAUUUGUUGACAAAAAAUAACGAGCAGAAUGGGAGAAACUUCGAGCGACUUAAACCUUUCAUUAGACAGUACAGGAGUUUUUGCAACUGGUAAAAUCAUUCACACCAUAAAAAGUAGGCUUGAAAUCAUUUUUAGUUUUAUCGAUUAAAAGAUUAAAGGUGAGACAACUCUACUUAAAAUUAAAUUAUAUGUUCUUUUAAUAUAAAACUUUUUCAGUUGCCCAAUUUGCCUUAAAACAUGACCAAUAUAGCAAUGAACAACAGUAUUGUGCUUCUCUGAGUAGUAAAUUGAUGCUUUGUUUACAUCAAGACUUCAAUAACAAUCAAUUGAACAAAACCAAUCACAUGCAAUCAAAACCAGUAUUUUGAUCAGUUUGACCUUCGUACUUAAUUUUACUACUCAUGCUCCCUCUUACUCUGACUGUCAAAUCUGACAACAAAAAUUCAAAACUAACAUGGCUACUUAGAUACGUUACUUAAUUUUCUGCUGAACUUUCAAUACUUACGAAGCAUAGACUCGAAAUCCGCCUCUGUGUUUUCUUCCGUACAUUGCAUUGCCACUGAAAUAAACAUCAGUUCAGUGUACAAACUGAUCUUUCGUUCCACUGUUUUUUUUUUCGAGAAACAUUUAGUGUUCUGCUGAAUUUUUGCUGUAAGUUUAAAUAUCAUUAGAUUUAGUUCAGCUUUCCUCUACUACCACGACUUCAACUUACUACUUGCAACUGUCUUGACCACGGAGAGUAAAAGCCUAAGUCUCUCUCUUAGUGAGCGAAAGCGCAAAACUAGCGCACAAAAAAUCAGAAGUACUUUUCCGAAAAUGUUGUACAACCUUUGUUUCUAAGGUUUCCCCAAUUCUACCAAGAGAGAAAUGAUUUCAUGUGAUAUAUUAUAAAUUAUAAAGGCCGCGAGCGCAAAAUUUCAGCACAUCCGCACUGGAAGAAAUUUUCACGACACGAUUCAACAAAGACGAGGCGCACGUAACAAAAUUUCCCUCUCGAUGAGAAGAAAAACUGAUUCUCUCUGCCCCCCCUAGAAUGGUAGCUAGUUAACUAAGGUUGCAUCACAGACCCUGAAUUAUUGUUACAACACUGAUAGAUUUCAAACUGCAUCGAACGGUUUUUCCUCCCAUCGAAACGCGGCGGUUUCGGUCAGUGUGCCUCGUCCACCCGUACGGGUGACAAAUUAUAAAUAUGGAUGAAAAAGGAACUUACUUAAUAUUUUUUCUAUGAAACUAGUUUUGUAAGUAGAUGACAAAAACACACAGACAGGCCCUAAAAGUUAUUUCAACAACACAUCGCAGCAACAAGAUUAUAGAAAAAUUUUAUCAUUAGUUAUUUUUAAUUUUAUUUAGUUUCCUCUUUUUUAUAUUGGUAGUUUAUAUUUUUAUACAAAAAAAAACUGCUACAGAGAAGAAAAUAUGAAAAAUACAAAUCAAGAAACGUGCUAAAAAGUAAAUAUUUUUUUAAGCCCAUAAAUCACUGAAAACGACCGGAGUAGACAAGCAGACUAGUAUAGACAAUGUAUUAUUGAUUGUAAAAAAGAAGAGGAGAAAUAAAAAUAAAAGGAGAAACGAAAGAUUUCUUUUUUGUUUUAAAUACUUUUUUCAAACGUUUAUUUUUAUUAAAUUAAUUUUAAUGAAUCGAGCCGAGAAAACAGCAAGGCACAGAGAUCUGCCUUCUCUGCAGACAGAUAUGAGGAAAAAAGUAUUUUUAUGGAAAAACCUAUAUAUUUUAUAACGUUUUAUAUUCGCGGACGUGAAAGUAGAGUAAAUAUUUUUUGCAGGCAAGUAAAGAUGUGCACAUAAACAAACUUAAUUUUCAAAACUAAAAAAAAAUCAAAGGCACAGUCAUUGAGAAACGUUGAAACUUAUUUCCUGUGUUAUUUUAUAUUAGUUUUUCUGUUUUUGAAGAUAAUCCAUUUCGAAAAUAAUGCGGGCAGUCCUAAUAAGAAAUUUAGAAUUUUGUCUACUGAAAUCAAGCAGACAUAAAACGGCCAUUAAAGUUUGAGAGGGAAUCAUGAUAAGUAUUACAAAAACAAAAACACUAAAACAAUGAAAAGUAAUAUCGUAUCUAAUGUAACGAAGUAAGAAGAACGAGCGGAACUUGAUCAGUAUCAUUGUAGGAACUAAGCCAACAACCAUGCAAAUAUUUCACUCAAACUCUUUUAAGAAUUAUCGAAAGAUACCAAAAGAUCGAAAUCAUCUCUAUAUCUAAAAAAAGAACGAAAAUAUUAAGCAAACCAGCAGAGGUAUUUAUCGUAAACAAAACAAGUUUCUGUGUUACAACAAAUUGCAAAUAAACAAAAAAGAAAAACAAUGAAAAUUAGUAUAAAAUGAUUGGAAAUGGUAAAGGAAUAAGUGAAAACAAGAAGAAUCGAGAGUGUAAAUGAAGGAGAAAAUGCAAAAUCUAAAUCAGAUAAAUGAAAAUCACAGUGUAUAUUAUGUUAUAAAAAUAAAUGUGCCAUUUUUCCAUAAUAA